CUCAUCCCAGCACCAAUCCAAGACUUCAUCUACUCUUCUCUCCGGUCUCUGUUCCACCGCUCUUCCUCCACGACUCUGACUCUAACCAUCGACGACGACAACAUGGGGAUGAGCAACGAGAUCUACCGAGCCGCUCAGACCUAUCUCUCCACCAAGAUCAGUCCAGACGCCAUCAGGCUCAGAAUCAGCAAAGGACAUGAUGAUGAUACGUUCAAUGGCUCACGAGCUCAUCCCAGCUCCAGUCCAAGAGUUCCUCUACUCCACUCUCCGGUCUCUCUUCUUCCGUUCUUCCUCCACGACUCUGACUCUAACCAUCGACGACGACAACAUGGGGAUGAGCAACGAGAUCUACCGAGCCGCUCAGACCUAUCUCUCCACCAAGAUCAGUCCAGACGCCAUCAGGCUCAGAAUCAGCAAAGGCCACAAAGACAAACACGUCAACUUGUACCUCAGCGACGGAGAAAUCGUCAACGACGUGUACCAAGACGUCG
rnacentral:lncRNA from 1 species